UCUCCAACAUUUUGUCUGCGCCACAGCGCCACCUCAGCAACCCGGAUAUCAACGGUUAUGGUAGGGACUCGUGACCGUUUUCCAUAAAGCCCUCCACCUUUUCGACACUUCCACCACCUUCCCCCCUUUUCUGCGCUAAACAACACAAAAGACACAGCAGCUUCAACGUUGCUCUCUGUUUCUCUGCAAAACCAUGGCAGGAGAUCUUCCUGGGUUUUACUAUGAUGGGAGAAGAAUAGGUACUUCCCACUCAAAGGCCCCAUCCCGGGCUCUCGUCGUAUGACUGCUUCUGCUUCUUCCAGAGCUCAGACGCCGGCCAAGGCGAACAACUCAUGUAGGCGAACAAGUGUAAGAACUUCUAAGAUGCUUCAGGCUAGGGAGUUAUGCGGUAAUCUCAUUCCUUUCAAUAAGGGAGGUGUAACUUCAAUGAGGAAUUCCAAAAGGCACAAGCAUGCCAUCCUGUGGUGUGGAAGUAUCAGGAAACAAAAAGAGUUAAGUGAUGGUGCUUUGGGGCGGAUUUGCAUGAAUUGCAGGUGAAGCUUUACCACCAACGCCUAAUCCAAAGAGGAGCUGUACAAUCUUACGAGGGGCAUGUGAAUUCCGAUACUCGUUUGCACUUUGCAGCUUGGAGUUGACCCAUCUGAGAGAUUUGUCAUGUCAGGCGGAGAGGACUGCAAUUUACGACUUUGAAGUAUUAAGUCUGGUAAACUGCCUUUCGAGGAUAUAUAAAUUCUGUAACACAAUCCCCUCAACUGGGUGCUGGCGAAGAGCUGAAAGGUUUAAGGGAGAUCAGGAUGACAGGCCAAAUUAGGAAUGCCUUGAUUCCAAAAGUGAUGGUUUGGGUGCAUGGAUUGGAUCACGGAUCACAGGAAUGACUAUUUUACAUGCGCUGACAAGUGUGAAAGGUGGAAAAAUGCUCUCACAAAAGUUUUACAAAUGUGCAAAGCUUGGGAUUUCUUUUGAUGCUCGAGUGUAGCAAUCUUAAUGCUCACCAUGCCGAAGCCAUUUAUGGGCUCAAACACAAGGCAACGCUACUGUGAGGAGAUAUAAGAAGGCGCGAUUGUUGGUCUUUGCCUUCCGAGGAGUUUUGUUUUUAUUUCCUUUGUAGAGAUACCAACAGGUAGAUAGUGAGUCUGAAAAUAGUACUUGUGUCGAGGUUUGUAUCUCCGUUGUUUAAGAGUAUUUACCGCACACUUAGGCCAAGGUUUGAAUCCUCACUCUCCGCCUUUGGUCUCCCUUAACACCAAAUGUAACAAAGAAAGUACUUUGUAAAAUGAUUGUGAAAUUUAGUAAAGUGACAAUGGUAAUUAUCAUUAUUUUUCUGA